rnacentral:lncRNA from 1 species
CUGAUAUCUCAAGAUACUUUCCAGAUAUUAACAGUACUCAGAACUGUGUAAAAGUUAACCACCAAAACCAUGUUUUAAAGAAAAAAGUUUAAAUGUAAGACUAAUGUCUUGGGGACUUUACUAAAUGUAUUUCUAAAAAAACCCUUCUCAAAUGUAGAAGUAUUGGCAAUUCUAAUUUAAAAAUUUUAAAUUUUUAAUUAUUGGAAAUUUAAGUAGCAAUAGUUUCAAGAGCUAAGAAUCAGAUUGCUUUUUAAAACAGAAUUUUUUUUUUUUCCUGAGGGACUCAUACUUGACAACUCCAGUUAAACAUAAUACUCCACCCAAAUCCCAAAUUUAAAUGCAUUAUGUCACCCUGGAAUAGUAAAAUUAUAAAAUGGUAUUUCUAAAUUAUAAUAUAUAUACAUAAUGCACCAUUUUAACUGUCACAUUUACCAGCAGAAUUAUGAAAUCAAAAACAAAUUCUACAUUCAAGGGACAAACGAUAAAUGCUCUUUCAUUGUUUUAAGAGUCCAUUCCAUUCUUUGUUGUUUUCUACUCCCAUAUUUUAAAAUUAUGACCAAAGGAGCCUGAAGGCCAAGUCAAUCCCAUUUCCCUGAACCCAACUGCCAGUAGGUACGGGCCCUACAUACGCGUCCUUUAACAAGCCCCGUUCUCAAAAGGCUGGGGGUAUUUAUAUAAGAACUUAUUCCAAAGUGACUCUAAGAUCCAUGUUCCCAAGAUCUAGUACGGGCUAUUCAGGGUUCUGAGGCAUGUCCAGCAUGCAGGCAAACUUAUCUGUUCAAAUUGAGGUAAAACAGACAAAAAACACUUAAUAUUAACAGAAGCUACAUAAUUAAAACUAACCUUCUGCUGCUUAUUUAAGCUAAUGAUGUAUUCUUACCAAACAGAGACCCUCAAGUCAAUCAUUUCUUUUGAUUUUAGUUACCACCCC